ACCCAGUGUAUUCCCACUUAGUGGGGUCUGGGGGGGUAAGAUGUACGCAGUCCAUACCUCUACCUCUGAUGAAGUAGAAAGGCUGUUUCCGAAAGACCCCCGGCUCAAGUCACGAGAUAUCACACAAACACAUAGUACAGCACAGAAGCAGAUGACAUAACACAGAUACGGCACCCAUAAGGAAUAUAAAACAGAGUAAGGAAUGCAGGAAUAUAAAGCAGAGGAAAGCACACAGAUUCGUAAUAAACAUGGAACACGGAACACGAAACACUGAAUACGGAAUCAUAACAGGAAUACACCCCCACCAAUUAAUUCCCUACACUAGCGCCCCGAACUGGCCCUAAUCCUCUGCCGUAAUUCGCAUCUUCCAGACCUUCCUAUCGAGGUUCAUGUCCUCGGUGAGCUGUAACUGUUCCAUGUCCCGCCUAAUCACCUCACCCCAGUACUUCUUCGG
rnacentral:lncRNA from 1 species